CAGCAGGUGGCGCAGUAGUUAGAGCCCCUGCCUUCGAGCUCAGGGUCUGCAGGUUCGAAUCCCGUCUCCUGCUGU
rnacentral:tRNA from 1 species